UUCCGGUUGAUCCUGCCGGACCUGACUGCUAUCGGAUUGAUANUAAGCCAUGCGAGUCAUUGUAGCAAUACAAGGCAGACGGCUUCAGUAACGCGUAGUCCAUUCUACCCUAUGGACGGGAAUAACCUCGGGAAACUGAGAAUAAUGCCCGAUAGAACAUUAUGCCUGGAAUGGUUUAUGUUUCAAAUGAUUUAUCGCCAUAGGAUGGGACUGCGGCCUAUCAGUUUGUUGGUGAGGUAAUGGCCCACCAAGACUAUUACAGGUACGGGCUCUGAGAGGAGUAGCCCGGAGAUGGGUACUGAGACACGGACCCAGGCCCUAUGGGGCGCAGCAGGCGAGAAAACUUUGCAAUGUGCGAAAGCACGACAAGGUUAAUCCGAGUGGUUUCUGCUAAAGAAACCUUUUGUCAGUCCUAGAAACACUAACGAAUAAGGGGUGGGCAAGUUCUGGUGUCAGCCGCCGCGGUAAAACCAGCACCUCAAGUGGUCAGGAUGAUUAUUGGGCCUAAAGCAUCCGUAGCUCGUUUUGUAAGUUUUCGGUUAAAUCCAUGCGCUUAACGUAUGGGCUGCCGGGAAUACUGCAUAACUAGGAAGUGGGAGAGGUAGACGGUACUCGGGAGGAAGGGGUAAAAUCCUUUGAUCUCUUGAUGACCACCUGUGGCGAAGGCGGUCUACCAGAACACGUUCGACGGUGAGGGAUGAAAGCUGGGGGAGCAAACCGGAUUAGAUACCCGGGUAGUCCCAGCUGUAAACUAUGCAAACUCAGUGAUGCAUUGGCUUAUGGCCAAUGCAGUGCUGCAGGGAAGCCGUUAAGUUUGCCGCCUGGGAAGUACGUACGCAAGUAUGAAACUUAAAGGAAUUGGCGGGGGAGCACCACAAGGGGUGAAGCCUGCGGUUCAAUUGGAUUCAACGCCGAAA
rnacentral:rRNA from 1 species